AACGAACGCUGGCGGCAUGCCUAACACAUGCAAGUCGAACGAGACCUUCGGGUCUAGUGGCGCACGGGUGCGUAACGCGUGGGAACCUGCCUUUAGGUUCGGAAUAACUCAGAGAAAUUUGAGCUAAUACCGGAUAAUGUCUUCGGACCAAAGAUUUAUCGCCUUUAGAUGGGCCCGCGUUGGAUUAGCUAGUUGGUGGGGUAAAGGCCUACCAAGGCGACGAUCCAUAGCUGGUCUGAGAGGAUGAUCAGCCACACUGGGACUGAGACACGGCCCAGACUCCUACGGGAGGCAGCAGUGGGGAAUAUUGGGACAAUGGGCGAAAGCCUGAUCCAGCAAUGCCGCGUGAGUGAUGAAGGCCUUAGGGUUGUAAAGCUCUUUUACCCGAGAUGAUAAU
rnacentral:rRNA from 1 species